AACCACGUGCUGCCCUCUCUCUAGAUCCGUUUCUCCUCUAGUCUAGUUUUCAGCGGUGCUUAGGCGAAGCCCUGCUGGACUAGCUCCACCACCAUCGCCGUCACGCCGUCGCGCUGCCGGAGAACUCAUCUACCUCUCCGCCCCCUCUUGCUGGAUCAAGAAGUCAGAGAUCGCCGUCUUGCUGUACGUGUGCUGAACGCGGAGGUGCCGUCCGUUCUGCGCUAGAUCGGGACGGAUCGUGGGACGGCGUCGAUUUGGAUCGCGAAGACGUUCCCCUACAUCAACCGCAUUUCUUAACGCUUCCCGCUUAGCGAUCUACAAGGGUAUGUGGAUCCGAUCUCCCUCUCGUAGAUGAUCAUCACCAUGAUAGAUCUUCGUGUGCGUAUAUUUUUUUUCCAUGCAACCCUCCCCAACAAAAUAUGCAUGAACUUUAUUUAUUUUUGUUGAAAUUCUUUUAAAUUGUAAUCAAACGUAUGUUUUUUUGCAUGAUAAUACGUGUCUCAUUCAUAUGAUAAAAAACAAAGUACAAGUCACAUAAAGACUGACAUUACCAAAAUCAAAAAGAUAGCAGAACAUUGCUGAGCCUGUCACCUGCUUCCGGCACCACCACAACAUUCAUUAAAGAAAAAAAUGACAGAUCACCUUCUCACCCUAUUUUGACGCGGCUCCAUUGUUGACAUGCAGCUUUGCGGACAUCCAAGGUGGCUCAUCAAAAUUAAAGUCAUUGACAUUGAACGAAUCAGACCAGGGCAACACCCCGAACACGCCAUCGAUCUUCAGAUGUCGUCAAUGCACACCAUAAUCUGCAUCCGCUCCUGGACUAUCUCCCAAGCUUCGGACUGGCGUUGGAGCAAACACCUCGCCGAAGGAAAGAGGUGAAGGGACUCUUCUAACGACGACUAAAUGCCUGUUCGGCAAUGCUUCGUGAAACAAAGCGCACUUUGAGCAGUUCCACAAAAUGUAACUGGAUACCGCUCCGCUCCGACGUAGAGUCGUGGAGCGGAGAAAAUCCGAACGCGGCCUAAGGUUUCUAGUCACCUGGCCGAUAGAAAAAGAACGCGGCAAACCGGCACUUGAUUGUGUAAGCAAACGUACGUGGAC
rnacentral:lncRNA from 1 species